rnacentral:rRNA from 1 species
CCUACGGGCGGCAGCAGUGAGGAAUAUUGGUCAAUGGCCGUAAGGCUGAACCAGCCAAGUCGCGUGAAGGAAGAAGGAUCUAUGGUUUGUAAACUUCUUUUAUAGGGGAAUAAAGGUAUCCACGUGUGGAUAUUUGCAUGUACCCUAUGAAUAAGCAUCGGCUAACUCCGUGCCAGCAGCCGCGGUAAUACGGAGGAUGCGAGCGUUAUCCGGAUUUAUUGGGUUUAAAGGGUGCGUAGGUUGUUUUUUAAGUCAGCGGUGAAAGUUUGUGGCUCAACCAUAAAAUUGCCGUUGAAACUGGAAGACUUGAGUGUGUUUGAGGUAGGCGGAAUGCGUGGUGUAGCGGUGAAAUGCAUAGAUAUCACGCAGAACUCCGAUUGCGAAGGCAGCUUACUAAACUGUGACUGACAUUGAUGCUCGAAAGUGUGGGUAUCAAACAGGAUUAGAUACCCGUGUAGUC